UAGUCCACGCCGUAAACGAUGUCAACUAGCCGUUGGGAGCAUAUAAGCUCUGAGUGGCGCAGCUAACGCGAUAAGUUGACCGCCUGGGGAGUACGCCGGCAACGGUAAAACUCAAAGGAAUUGACGGGGGCCCGCACAAGCGGUGGAGCAUGUGGUUUAAUUCGAUGCAACGCGAAAAACCUUACCUACCCUUGACAUCCUCAGAACUUGUUAGAGAUAACUUGGUGCCUUCGGGAACUGAGUGACAGGUGCUGCAUGGCUGUCGUCAGCUCGUGUCGUAAGAUGUUGGGUUAAGUCCCGCAACGAGCGCAACCCUUGUCCCUAGUUGCCAGCACGUAAUGGUGGGGACUCUAAGUAGACUGCCUGCGCAAGCAGUGAGGAAGGAGGGGACGAGGUCAGGUCAUCAUGGCCCUUACGUCCAGGGCUACACACGUGCUACAGUGGCGUAUACAGAGGGAAGCUACCUGGUAACAGGAUGCAAAUCUUCAAAGUACGUCCCAGUUCGGAUUG
rnacentral:rRNA from 1 species